CUAAGCCCACACGUCAGCAUUUCUUUUACAUUAGGAUACUUCCCUAAUGUUUCUGUCAAAACAAAAGGAAGCAUAAUGCAGGACUCCACUAUGCCCGCUGACCACCUUCCACAGCUUCACUCAUCAGGAAGUGAGGUUAAUU